rnacentral:sRNA from 1 species
GGUUUAAACCAACAAAACAUUGCUUAUAAGCAGUAAGCAGUUUUGUUAGUGUUUUUAUGGUCAAAAUGUGUCACAAUCCAAUAUAUUUGACUAAUUAUAAGAGUUAAAGAUGGAUUAGAAGUGUGUAGACAACACUUAUACCCAUUUUCUCCCAAAAGAGGCUAAAACCAACAAGAAAUUAUUUAGAAGCAGUAAAUGAC